rnacentral:rRNA from 1 species
GACGAACGCUGGCGGCGUGCUUUACACAUGCAAGUCGAACGGAAAGGCCCUGCUUUUGUGGGGUGCUCGAGUGGCGAACGGGUGAGUAACACGUGAGUAACCUGCCCUUGACUUUGGGAUAACUUCAGGAAACUGGGGCUAAUACCGGAUAGGAGCUCCUGCUGCAUGGUGGGGGUUGGAAAGUUUCGGCGGUUGGGGAUGGACUCGCGGCUUAUCAGCUUGUUGGUGGGGUAGUGGCUUACCAAGGCUUUGACGGGUAGCCGGCCUGAGAGGGUGACCGGCCACAUUGGGACUGAGAUACGGCCCAGACUCCUACGGGAGGCAGCAGGGGGGAAUAUGGCACAAUGGGCGGAAGCCUGAUGCAGCAACGCCGCGUGCGGGAUGACGGCCUUCGGGUUGUAAACCGCUUUCGCCGGUGACGAAGCGUGAGUGACGGUAAUGGGUAAAGAAGCACCGGCUAACUACGUG